CUCCUCUCAGGGUCUCACCUGGAGAGUUUCCAGCAUUCUACCAGUCUCGACUAUGGGAGGGAGAGUUAAGCAGAGGCAUACCCAUUCCAUUCCUAGCUUGGGCGGUGGCUAAGGAAUGGAAAGCAAUCUGCUCUAAGU